rnacentral:ncRNA from 1 species
GCUGGUGAGAAUCCAGCACUGUCGCGCAACGGUAAUCCCCUCCUUGGGGUAAGUCCGG